rnacentral:rRNA from 1 species
AUUGAACGCUGGCGGCAGGCCUAACACAUGCAAGUCGAGCGGAGCGGCGGACGGGCGAGUAAGGCCUAGGUAUCUGCCUGGUAGUGGGGGAUAACGUCCGGAAACGGGCGCUAAUACCGCAUACUAUCAGACGAGUCUAGGGCCGAUUGGCUAGUUGGGGGGUUAAGGUCCUACCAAGGCGAAGAUCCGUAACUGGUCUGAGAGGAUGAUCAGUCACAGUGGAACUGAGACACGGUCCAGACUCCUCCGGGAGGCAGCAGUGGGGAAUAUUGGACAAUGGGCGAAAGCCUGAUCCAGCCAUGCCGCGUGUAUGAAGAAGGCCUUCGGAUUGUAAAGCACUUUAAGUUGGGAGGCGUUACCAACAGAAGAAGCACCGGCUAACUUCGUGCCAGCAGCCGCGGUAAUAC